rnacentral:lncRNA from 1 species
GCUGUAUGUGACGGCCAUCGAGGACCGGCAGUACAAAGACUACAAGAUCCACUGGUGGGAGAACGUGUAUGGCUUCGACAUGUCUUGCAUCAAAGAUGUGGCCAUUAAGGAGCCCCUAGUGGAUGUCGUGGACCCCAAACAGCUGGUCACCAACGCCUGCCUCAUAAAGGAGGUGGACAUCUAUACCGUCAAGGUGGAAGACCUGACCUUCACCUCCCCGUUCUGCCUGCAAGUGAAGCGGAAUGACUACGUGCACGCCCUGGUGGCCUACUUCAACAUCGAGUUCACACGCUGCCACAAGAGGACCGGCUUCUCCACCAGCCCCGAGUCCCCGUACACGCACUGGAAGCAGACGGUGUUCUACAUGGAGGACUACCUGACCGUGAAGACGGGCGAGGAGAUCUUCGGCACCAUCGGCAUGCGGCCCAACGCCAAGAACAACCGGGACCUGGACUUCACCAUCGACCUGGACUUCAAGGGCCAGCUGUGCGAGCUGUCCUGCUCCACCGACUACCGGAUGCGCUGAGGCCCGGCUCUCCCGCCCUGCACGAGCCCAGGGGCUGAGCGUUCCUAGGCGGUUUCGGGGCUCCCCCUUCCUCUCCCUCCCUCCCGCAGAAGGGGGUUUUAGGGGCCUGGGCUGGGGGGAUGGGGAGGGCACAUCGUGACUGUGUUUUUCAUAACUUAUGUUUUUAUAUGGUUGCAUUUACGCCAAUAAAUCCUCAGCUG